UCUCUGGAACUCUGUGACUUGGUUCAUCAGGUGCUCGGGAUGGAGAGGAUUCCGUGAAGAGACUAUAGGGUCACGUAGGCAUUUGUACUGAGCCAACUUCCUAAAUGAGCUAACCCUCCUUAUCCAGGCAGUGUUUGCUGAAGACCGAUAGCUGUCGCACGACCGUCGUGAGGAGAGCCUGAACAGAGGACGACCCCGCCUGAAUCCUCCAUCCCACAGCUGAACAAAUCAGGUGAUCGGCGAAUUUCUCCAUCUGGCAAGAAUACGGCGGACGAUAAGGUGACAUCCAGGCAUGAUUUAUCAACGGACACGAGAGAGGCUACAAGGUCUUGGAGACAGUAUAGGCACCGAAGACAUUACAGCGUCUUGGAGGCCAUAUAGACAGGAAAGACAUUACAGCAUGUUGGAGAUAGUAUGGACACGGGAGCCAUUACAGCGUCUGGAGACCUUAUAAACAUGGGGAGACACGACAGCGUCUUGGAGACAGAAUAGAUACUGGAGACAUUACAGCGUCUUGGAGACAGUAUAAACACCGGAAGCAUUACAGCGUCUUGGAGACAGUGUAGACACGGGAAACAUUACAGGGUCUUGGAGACAGUAUAG